UGACGGGACAGAGAAGUACUGCGUGCGGUAUCCGCGCUUCAGAAAAGGUGCCCAUGUGGUGCGUCCCAUCAAAGAGGCAGCCUCAUACGGUUAUGCAACAUCAUUAAUGAAGGCCCUUCGGGAGAGCUACGCCAAUUCACCCGCGGUUCUUCGAGAGGUUGGCGCCAAUCUGUCCUCCGAUGCACCCGCCCCCAUCGCCAAAUCCUUCGAACAGAUUCCUAAGGAGGAGGCCAUCAGCCUCUACCUAGCCCGGCAGUCACGCUUCAAGAAAACCUAAUUUCACAUUAUUAUUUUUUUCCACGGACAAGUCCAAUGAUUUAGUUGUUAUUUGCAUGAAAUUUCUUUGUAUGUAAUUCAAAAUAAUUUGGUAAUCAUUUUACCUGUGCCUUGUCAACCUCUGUGUGCGGUGUUGUCUGGGCUCACUGUGUGUCUGCUUGAUGUGCUUUUGCAUGUAUCACUGCAUGUAUCACUGCAUGAAAUAGUGUGUGUGUGUGUGUGUGAGAGAAAGAGAACCAUCAACUGACCCUCGGGUAUGACUACACUAUUGCAGAAUUAAUUAGAAUUAGAAUUAAACAUUGCGGGUCUAGCCCUUCAUCAGUGUUCCUUGUAUGUUUUGUGCCUAACCAUUUUUUUAUAUAGAUUUAAUUCCAACCUGUGUCUUUGUUCAGUAACCAUUACAAGCAAUGCCAAUCAACUUUUUUUUAUCCAAAAUGCAUGUGUUCUGUGUACUUUAUAACAUUUUAAGGGCAAUUGAAUGAUCACAACAGAAUAAGCAUAACUAUUAUUUUUAUUCAUUUUCAUCCAAACAAGGCCAUUGAAAGCCCUGAUAGGUCUGGUCACCAUUCUGGAAUUGCUGUCUGAUGGUUGAAACCACACAAGAGGGUAGAGGCUUCCUUAUACUCCUCCCUAAAACGCCAUAAGCCCAGCGUAUAGCUUGCCUGUACGCAGUGUACCGGUAUUGCCUAGGGAUAAGUAGGAAAGAUUCUUAAGUUUAAAACUGUAAGGUUGGAAACGUCAUUUUAAGCCUGUUUCUUAUGCAUGUUUAUUGUGUAUGCAACACAUCUCCUGUCACCUAUAACUGUUGGUUCAAAUGACUCAGUGUAAAAAGAUUUGUAAAGUAAACAUAAACCAUGAACAUA